AAUUUUUUCCCCCUAGGUGGAAGGAAAAAGGCACUUAUGUUGCAGGUUACAGAAAUUACUGGGAGAGGAUAUUGUCAUAAAAAGAGCCAGGCCAAAUUGGAAUAUUUUUGUGAUCUGCAUCAUGAUGCUGAAAAUAGCGAUUAUUUGGGAAUUGGGUUUGAAAACUGAAUUGUUGCCAGAGAAUUAAACCAGGUGAAAGGUCCUUUUGAAUUCAGAUUGUCUUCUGAACAUCCAGGCUGAUCAUCUGAGAGCAGUCAAAUCUACUUCCCCAAAAAGAGACCAGGCCUAGUAUCAGAAGGCCAGGCGAGACUGCAACACUGCUCAUCACCCCGCGGCGUGAUCCCUGCUCUUAGGUGCUGGGCAGAGGGGAAGGGUGGUCAGGGUGAGGAUGGUGAGGGAGGGCUGGUGAGGGGCUCAGAGGAAUACUCGGAACAACAGCAGUGUUAUUGUAGUGUGGCAGUUUCUUUUAUACAUAGGUGAGAGUUUUUAAAGUGUAAGGGAAAAAUUAAUUUUUUAAAAAACACCAUGCUUGGAGGGUGGGGGUAGAAAUAGACACAAUAUUAUUUCUAAGGAAUCGGGUUUUCAUUUACUCUGGACUG
rnacentral:sRNA from 1 species